rnacentral:rRNA from 1 species
UGCCCUAGUAACGGCGAGUGAAGCGGCAUCAGCUCAAAUUUGAAAUCUGGCUCUUUCAGGGUCCGAGUUGUAAUUUGCAGAGGGAGCUUUCGAGUUGGCAGCGGUCUAAGUUCCUUGGAACAGGACGUCACAGAGGGUGAGAAUCCCGUACGUGGUCGCAGGCCUUCUCGAGGUAAAGCCCCUUCGACGAGUCGAGUUGUUUGGGAAUGCAGCUCUAAAUGGGAGGUAAAUUUCUUCUAAAGCUAAAUACUGGCCAGAGACCGAUAGCGCACAAGUAGAGUGAUCGAAAGAUGAAAAGCACUUUGGAAAGAGAGUCAAAUAGCACGUGAAAUUGUUGAAAGGGAAGCGCUUGCAGCCAGACUUGCCUGUAGUUGCUCAUCCGGGCUUUUGCCCGGUGCACUCUUCUAUAGGCAGGCCAGCAUCAGUUUGGGCGGUUGGAUAAAGGUCUCUGUCACGUACCUCCUCUCGGGGAGGCCUUAUAGGGGAGACGACAUGCAACCAGCCUGGACUGAGGUCCGCGCAUCUGCUAGGAUGCUGGCGUAAUGGCUGUAAGCGGCCCGUCUUGAAACACGGACCAAGGAGUCUAACAUCUAUGCGAGUGUUUGGGUGUCAAGCCCGAGCGCGCAAUGAAAGUGAACGGAGGUGGGAUCCCUUAAGGGUGCACCAUCGACCGAUCCUGAAGUCUUCGGAUGGAUUUGAGUAAGAGCAUGGCUGUUGGGA